UACAUAGGGUGCAAGCGUUAAUCGGAAUUACUGGGCGUAAAGCGUGCGCAGGCGGUUUUUUAAGUCAGAUGUGAAAGCCCCGGGCUCAACCUGGGAAUUGCAUUUGAAACUGGGAAACUAGAGUGUGUGAGAGGGGGGUAGAAUUCCAAGUGUAGCGGUGAAAUGCGUAGAGAUUUGGAGGAAUACCAGUGGCGAAGGCGGCCCCCUGGCACAACACUGACGCUCAGGUGCGAAAGCGUGGGGAGCAAACAGG
rnacentral:rRNA from 1 species